AGCCCUAAACACAAAUAAUUAUAAAAACAAAAUUAUUCGCCAGAGUACUACCGGCAACAGCCCGAAACUCAAAGGACUUGGCGGUGCUUUAUACCCUUCUAGAGGAGCCUGUUCUAUAAUCGAUAAACCCCGAUAAACCUCACCAAUCCUUGCUAAUACAGUCUGAUAUACCCGUCUUCAGCAAACCCUAAAAAUGGACAAAAGUAGGCUCGGUGGUAACACAUAAAGACGUUAGGUCAAGGUGUAACCUAUGGAGUGGGAAGAGGUGGGGUACAUUUUCUACCCAAGAAAAUUUAAUACGAAAGCCAUUAUGAAAUUAAUAGCCAAAGGAGGAUUUAGCAGUAAACUAAGAAUAGAGUGCUUAGUUGAAUCAGGCCAUGAAGCACGC
rnacentral:rRNA from 1 species